AUUGAACGCUGGCGGCAGGCCUAACACAUGCAAGUCGAACGAGUGGCGGACGGGUGAGUAAUGUCUGGGAAACUGCCUGCUGGAGGGUGAUAACUACUGGAAACGGUAGCUAAUACCGCAUACCAUCGGAUGUGCCCAGAUGGGAUUAGCUAGUAGGUGGGGUAACGGCUCACCUAGGCGACGCUCCCUAGCUGGUCUGAGAGGAUGACAAGCCACACGGGAACGGAGACACGGUCCAGACUCCGACGGGGGGAAGCAGGGGGGAAUAUUGAACAAUGGGCGCAAGCCGGAUGCAGACAGGCCGCGUGUAUGAAGAAGGCCUUCGGGUUGUAAAGUACUUUCAGCGGGGAGGCGUUACCCGCAGAAGAAGCACCGGCUAACUCCGUGCAAGCAGCCGCGGUAAUUC
rnacentral:rRNA from 1 species